GUUUUUUAGGUUUUAACUCCAGUUCUUCAGAGUUCAGCUGCGCGGCCUCCAGACGACGGUGUCAAAGUUCAGUCUCCUCCACCGUCCACAGAUCGACGUCGACUGUCCGUCUCCGCCUGCAGGUGCUGAGCUACAGACAUUCAGUCUGGACGUGUGGAUGAACAUGGAACUGCAGGAAGGACUCUGCAGAAACAUCACGGACGGAGCUGGAUGUGGCGCCCCCGUCAGGCAGACGCAGUGGAGCAGUGGUGACCACAGCUGCCUUCCAACCUGGGUGUGAUUCCCGGUCAUGACAAACACUUGGAGCUGACAUCAGCAGUCGGUGAUUUUGGGUCUGUGUCGUUGUCAGAGGGUCGCAGGUUCAAAUCCCGUCUGAUUGGCUGCUCCGACCACAGUAUCCUCUGGACCACCUCCUCCCACUCUGACCUCCACCCACAGGUCAAACAGACCCUGUGACCUGUAGCACCCCCUACAUCCGUCUCCACUCCCAGCAUCCAUCAGUCCUCCACUAUUUGAACUCCUCUUCAUCAUCCACUCGUUACAUCAGCUCCUGCAGCUCCUCGUCCAACAGUUCCAAGUGAAAGAACAACAGAGAGGGACCAGAAUUA